GGCUCAGGACGAACGCUGGCGGCGUGCCUAACACAUGCAAGUCGAGCGAGGAGAUUCCUCGGGAUGAUCCUAGCGGCGGACGGGUGAGUAACACGUGGGCAACCUGCCUCAUAGAGAGGAAUAGCCUUCCGAAAGGGAGAUUAAUACCUCAUAACAUUGCAGUUUCGCAUGGAACAGCAAUUAAAGGAGCAAUCCACUAUGAGAUGGGCCCGCGGCGCAUUAGCUAGUUGGUGAGGUAACGGCUCACCAAGGCGACGAUGCGUAGCCGACCUGAGAGGGUGAUCGGCCACAUUGGGACUGAGACACGGCCCAGACUCCUACGGGAGGCAGCAGUGGGGAAUAUUGCACAAUGGGGGAAACCCUGAUGCAAGCAACGCCGCGUGAGUGAUGACGGCCUUCGGGUUGUAAAGCUCUGUCUUCAGGGACGAUAAUGACGGUACCUGAGGAGGAAGCCACGGCUAACUACGUGCCAGCAGCGGC
rnacentral:rRNA from 1 species